CAGCCAUCAAUGCAGGGAUUCACUGCCUGGAGCUCCGAAGAACCAGGAGUUAAAGCAGCGUCCAGAAAGACGAGGAUUCUCCCGCCCAGUUAUCCAAUCUUUCUGCUGUUGAAACGUUUACUUUGACUCACAUCUCCCAGGGCUGAGCAAAGGCAGCUGCAGUGAAGGGCCCUCAGUGUGAGUGGGGAACAAGUUCUUCCUCCUCAAAAAUUCCUGCAUGGCAUUUAUGUGGAAUCUCACACAAGCAUGUCCUGGCUCAGCACUGCCAUUCCCAGGCACUGGUAGCUGUGCAAUCAGGCUAAGGAGACGUCCAAACAUCAGCUAAAAAACCAAGUGUGAUUUAGAAAGUUACAAGUUUUAAGAACUGAAAAGGAGUAAUGACGGUGAAUACUAAGAAAAUGUGAUUACUCAGCAUGGAAUUCUCCCAGCUGUGCUUUUCACAAGCUCCUCAAGCAGAAUUUACUCUCCAGCACGAAGUUCAAGAGCCAGUUAACUUCACUUUCUCAGGUUUAAAGGAAAUAGCAUGAAAACACUCAGUUAUGCUCACAAAAUGAUGCCACGUAAUCCAAGGAUUGACUGGUUCCAGAAAUUAGCAGAGUCACUGCACGGAUGCUUUGUGGCCAUGGAGAGGCUCCCACUGACAGCCACUCUCCUGAGUUGAGAAAGUUAUUCCACG